GAUGAACGCUAGCGGCAGGCUUAAUACAUGCAAGUCGAGGGGCAGCACAGAUAGCAAUAUUGGGUGGCGACCGGCAAACGGGUGCGGAACACGUACACAACCUUCCUUUUAGUGUGGGAUCGCCCAGAGAAAUUUGGAUUAAUACCACAUAGUAUAUUGGAGUGGCAUCACUUUGAUAUUAAAGAUUUAUCGCUAAAAGAUGGGUGUGCGUAUGAUUAGGUAGUUGGUAGAGGUAACGGCUCACCAAGCCUUCGAUCAUUAACUGGUGUGAGAGCGCCACCAGUCACACGGGCACUGAGACACGGGCCCGGCUCCUACGGGAGGCAGCAGUAAGGAAUAUGGGUCAAUGGACGGAAGUCUGAACCAGCCAUGCCGCGUGAAGGAUGGCGGCCCUCUGGGUUGUAAACUUCUUUUAUGUGGGACGAAAAAGGGCCAUUUUUGGUCAACUGACGGUACCAUAGGAAUAAGCACCGGCUAACUCCGUGCCAGCCGCCGCAGUAA
rnacentral:rRNA from 1 species